ACUAAAGGAAUAAGGUAUAAAAUUAUUACACAGAAAUCAAUAGCUUUCAUAUAUAUUAACAGUAGCCCGUUAGAAGAUAUAAUGGAAGCAAAGAACCCAUAUACAACAGCAACCCAGAGAUAAAAUACAUAGGAAUAAACUCAACACAACAUGUGCAAGAUUCAGAUGAAAAGCAUUAAAAUGACCAUCAUCUGCUCCUACACCCAACAGUUACACUUCUGGCCAUUUAUCACAUAGAUGUCCGGGCACAUAUUGAAAAGAUAUAUUUUGAGAUUAUUAGUUACAGCACUGUCUGUAAUUGCAGACAGGAAAUAAUCUAAGUAUCUAGUAAUAAAGAACUAGUUCAUAAAAUACGGUAUAUGAUUUACCCAAGUAAUGGGCUAUCACACAGCUGUAAACCAGAAUAAGAGAACUUUCUAUAGGUUGAUACGGAAAGCUCUCCAACCUAUAGUGUUAUUUUAAAAAGCAAGAGGUGGAAUAGUGUGAACAGAGUUUCUCUUUUUUGUGUUAAAAAGGAAAAAAAAAUACGGUUGUUUAUUUACUUUUAUUUGUAUGCCUUCCUACUCUGAAAGGAUACAUAAAAAAUUCAUGACAAUGGUAACGUGUAGAUGAGUAGCAGGCAUUUGAAAGAGCCUUUUCACUGUAUUCCUUUAAAUACAUUUUUAAUUUUUUAAACUAUGUGUGUGAAUUACCUAUUCAAAAAUUAGAGAAUGGUGCAUGGCAGCCUAACUUAGGUUGUUUUUUUAAAAAACAAAUCCCUCUGUUGCUCAGGCUGGAGUGCAGUGGUGCGAUCUCGGCUCACUGCAACUUCCGCCUCCCGGGUUCAAGCCAUUCUCCUGCCUCAGCCUCCCCAGUACGUAGGACUACAGUCGCGUGCCACCACACCCGGCUAAUUUUUUGUAUUUUUAGUAGAGACUGGGUUUCACCAAGUGCUGGGGUUACAGGCCUGAGCCACUGUGCCCGGCCUCUUUGUUUUUUUGUUUUUUUUCUGGAACCUAGCUUUAGGUGAAAAACACUUGCUCUAAUUUUCUGGCUUGCUGCAGUCAGCAGAAUGCUUCAACAAAUGGCCAGCCUGAAUUAGUUCUUAAAAAGUAUUUAUUUCACUUGCUUAUAUCCUGUAAAUCCUAGAAUCACAAACUCUAUUAAGUGUUGGGGACUUUAUAAAGCAAACCAGCCCACACUUUAACCCCAAGAACGUAUUUUAAGAUAUCCUGGACAAGGAGCCCUCCAGCCUGUGUGUAAUGGCUAACUGAUGUGUCAACUUAACUGGGCCAUGGGUUGCCCAGAUAGCUGGUCAAACAUUAUUCUAGGUGUGUCUGUUUUGGGAUUUAAAUCAACAGACAGAGUAAAGCCAAUUGCCUUCCUAAUAUGGGUGGGCCUCAUCUAGUCCACUGAAGGCCUGAAUAGAACAAAAAGGUUUACCUUUCCCCUAUUAAAGGAGUUCCUCCUGCUUGAUAGCCUUCCGACUGGGAUAUGGGUUUUUUUCUUCCCUUCAGACUCAAACUGAAACACUGGCCCUUCCUGAGUUUCAAGCCUGCUGGCCUUUGGGGUGUCUCCAACCUGCCCGCUCUCCCUAGUGAUCUUGGGACUUCCCAGACUUUAUAAUCAUGUGAGCCGAUUCCUUAUAAUUAAAUCUCUUCGUAUAUUAACACACAUCCUAUAGGCUCUGUUCUCUGGAAAGCAUUUUCAGAGAUAAGAAACUUAUGUGCUAAGUGAGUCCAAGGCCAAGUAGUUAGCCCAUCAGAGAACCAAGAGCUGGACUGGGAAAUUUUGUCUUCUCAUGGCCUUGCCUGUAUUCAUCCCUCCAUCCUUCUACUUCUCCCUUUAUUCAGCAAGCAUUUGUUACAUAGAGCUAACAAUUGAGCUACUUUACAAUUUGCUUAAAAUAAAUAUUUUGCAAUGACCUCCUCGCCUACAACCCCAAUCACAUUCAGCAUUUCAGUAGCACACAAUACAGUCGUGCCCGCCUUCCCCAACAGCACCCCCUGCUGGUUUUCCUCCUACUUCA
rnacentral:lncRNA from 1 species